GCCAAACAGCUAGCUUAACCACCAAGAUAAGUUUACAACAUAAAUAAAAUAAUAUUACCAAAACACAUAAAUUAAACCAUUCUACCGCCCCAGUAUGGGAGACAGAAAAGGCCACUUUAAGCAAUAGAAAAAGUACCGCAAGGGAAAGCUGAAAGAGAAAUGAAAAAACCCAUCCAAGCAACAAAAAGCAGAGACUAAACCUCGUACCUUUUGCAUCAUGAUUUAGCAAGCACUAAACAAGCAAAGAGACCUUUAGUUUAAUACCCCGAAACCAAGUGAGCUACCCCGAGACAGCCUAUGUGGGCCAACCCGUCUCUGUAGCAAAAGAGUGGGAAGAGCUCCGGGUAGAGGUGACAAACCUACCGAACUUGGUGAUAGCUGGUUGCCUAAGAAAUGAAUAAAAGUUCAGCCUCGUGCACCCCUAAUCAAAGAAGAGAUCUUCCAACCCGAAUACAAAGAGAAACCCACGAGAGUUAGUCAAAGGAGGUACAGCCCCUUUGACAAAGGAUACAACCUCUACAGGAGGAUAAAGAUCAUACCAAACAAAACCCGUCGUCCUAGUGGGCCUAAAAGCAGCCACCUGAACAGAAAGCGUCAAAGCUCAAACGACACAGAGUUUAUUAUUCUGACACAUAAUCUAACUCCCCUAAAGAUACUAGGCCGCCCCAUGCCAACAUGGAAGAGACCAUGCUAAAAUGAGUAACAAGAGGGCAAGCCCCUCUCCAAGCACAAGUGUAAGCCAGACCGGACCAACCACUGGCAAUUAACGAACCCAAAAAAAGAGGAUGCUGUAAACAACAAUAAACACAAGAAAAACCUACAACAAAACAAUCGUUAACCCCACACUGGAGUGCCCCAAGGAAAGACUAAAAGAAAAGGAAGGAACUCGGCAAACACAAGCCUCGCCUGUUUACCAAAAACAUCGCCUCCUGCAAAACCCCAAGUAUAAGAGGUCCAGCCUGCCCAGUGACUACAAGUUCAACGGCCGCGGUAUUCUAACCGUGCAAAGGUAGCGCAAUCAUUUGUUUUCUAAAUAAAGACCUGUAUGAACGGCUAAACGAGGGCUUAACUGUCUCCCUUUUCAAGUCAGUGAAAUUGAUCUGCCCGUGCAGAAGCGGACAUAAAUAUACAAGACGAGAAGACCCUUUGGAGCUUAAGGUACAAAAUCCAACCACGUCAAACAACUUAAUCCAUCUAAGCCAGAACUUAGUGAAAAAUGGAAUCUUACCUUCGGUUGGGGCGACCAUGGAGGAAAAAAGAUCCUCCAAGUGGACUGGGAAAAUCCAUAAAACCAAGAAGCACACUUCUAAGCCACAGAAAUUCUGACCAAUCAUGAUCCGGCCCACAAGCCGAUCAACGAACCAAGUUACCCCAGGGAUAACAGCGCAAUCCUCUCCUAGAGUCCGUAUCGACGAGAGGGUUUACGACCUCGAUGUUGGAUCAGGACAUCCUAACAGUGCAACCGCUGUUAAGGGUUCGUUUGUUCAACGAUUAAAGUCCUACGUGAUCUGAGUUCAGACCGGAGCAAUCCAGGUCAGUUUCUAUCUGUAACGUUACUUUUUCCUAGUACGAAAGGACCGGAAAAUAGAGGCCUAUACUCAAAGCAUGCCUCACCCCCAAUUAAUGAAAACAAAUAAAUUAAACAAAGGGGAGCCAAACACUCUAGCCAAAAUAAGGCUAU
rnacentral:rRNA from 1 species